AAAGAACCCCGGCGAGGGGAGUGAAAAAGAACCUGAAACCGUGUACGUACAAGCAGUGGGAGCACGCUUCGGCGUGUGACUGCGUACCUUUUGUAUAAUGGGUCAGCGACUUAUAUUCUGUAGCAAGGUUAACCGAAUAGGGGAGCCGAAGGGAAACCGAGUCUUAACUGGGCGUUAAGUUGCAGGGUAUAGACCCGAAACCCGGUGAUCUAGCCAUGGGCAGGUUGAAGGUUGGGUAACACUAACUGGAGGACCGAACCGACUAAUGUUGAAAAAUUAGCGGAUGACUUGUGGCUGGGGGUGAAAGGCCAAUCAAACCGGGAGAUAGCUGGUUCUCCCCGAAAGCUAUUUAGGUAGCGCCUCGUGAAUUCAUCUCCGGGGGUAGAGCACUGUUUCGGCAAGGGGGUCAUCCCGACUUACCAACCCGAUGCAAACUGCGAAUACCGGAGAAUGUUAUCACGGGAGACACACGGCGGGUGCUAACGUCCGUCGUGAAGAGGGAAACAACCCAGACCGCCAGCUAAGGUCCCAAAGUCAUGGUUAAGUGGGAAACGAUGUGGGAAGGCCCAGACAGCCAGGAUGUUGGCUUAGAAGCAGCCAUCAUUUAAAGAAAGCGUAAUAGCUCACUGGUCGAGUCGGCCUGCGCGGAAGAUGUAACGGGGCUAAACCAUGCAC
rnacentral:rRNA from 1 species